UACGUAGGGUGCAAGCGUUAAUCGGAAUUACUGGGCGUAAAGCGUGCGCAGGCGGCUUUGUAAGUCAGAUGUGAAAUCCCCGGGCUUAACCUGGGAACUGCGUUUGAAACUACAAGGCUAGAGUGUGGCAGAGGGGGGUGGAAUUCCACGUGUAGCAGUGAAAUGCGUAGAGAUCCGGAAGAACACCGGUGGCGAAGGCGGUCUGCUGGGGUCGAACUGACGCUGAGGCGCGACAGCGUGGGGAGCAAACAGG
rnacentral:rRNA from 1 species